AUUCAUAUCUCUUAACUCACAAGCACUCUUGACAUUUGUUCGCCAAAUUCAGCAAUAAAUGAAGUUAGGAUGUGAUUGUUCAUCUCGCUGGAUUCUGCUUCUGUUUGCAUUUCCAUGUAUUCAUCUUAUUUUUAUAGUAAUGAUUUCAAUGUGUUUGACUAAUAGUUUCUUCACUUACUUUCAGUUUAACAUAUUUAUAGUGGCAGGUUUCCUGAUACAUGAUUGUUUAUAUUUUUAUGGUCAUUUGGAUACGAUCUUAUUGGAGUUUAUCUACUAGAAAAUACACUAAAAACCCGGUAGGAUACGGAGAGCAGAGAACACUUAUUGGAGCUUCUCUACUAAAAAAAUGCGCUAGAUAAGCACCAAUAAGUGUUAUUUGGUUUGCAUCCAAACAAGCUCUAAAUAAGCUACAAUAAGUGCUGAAGUGAUGAGCAAUUGAGGAAUCGAAAUGAAGAGAGCUCGAUAAGCGCUUAGCCUGGCAGCAAUUCUCCAGAAAUCGCAUGCUGCUCCUUGUGUAGUGUAGUUUCUGGAGUGGCAAGAUGUCAUUGGCAUUUUAUGUCUCCACGGGAGAAAACCAGAUGCCCUGUAUGAAGUAAAGAAUCCAGAAGUGCGACAAUAGUUUUGAAGAUUAACGGGGAGGAUACAAGUAUCAUCAGUCCUACCCUUGGCUUAAACAUCAUCAAAACCAUCUCCCACCAAACACACAUCUUUCCCUCCCUACACAAAUCCAUUACUUUUCUAUUAUAUGCAUACCUUGUGUCCCUCACGGCGUUUUCAUUUAUUUUCUUCCUGUGUAUUGCUAAUUAUGUUUGUUAUAAUGUAAUAUGUUUCAUAAGAAUGAGUUUUUUAAGUUUUAAUGCAUUUUGUUUGAGUCGAAAACGUGUGAUCUUACUUCUUAAUUUGGCGGCGGCAUAUUCUAAGAACAUGAUAGGAAUUUUCUUGAAUUUAUGUUGUUAGCCUUCAUUUUGCUUAGUAUCUUGCUGUGAUUUAUUAUAUUCUAGAAUGUUGAGUCAUUUAUCCACAUUGACAAUGGCAGUUACACUCUGAAUAUAUGGGAUGUUGGGGUCCGAAAAACAAUACCAUCUUACUGGAUGAACUCAUUUGAGCAAACAGAUGAUUUGGUUUGGGUAGUUGACAGUUCGGAUCUCAGAAGGUUGGAUGACUGCAAAAACGGAGCUAAACAACCUUCUAAAGGAAGAGGAUAACAAUCUUGUUCAUUCCAUUUGCAGCUGCUUUCCUUUCCCUUGAUAACUUGCUCAUUUACCUCAAAGGAUAAAUAAUUUUUAAUGGUUGUGGCAAAGAAAUCAGAUAAGUACCUGCUCCUUUAAGCACUUGAAAAAAAAAAACCAUUUCUGUGUAGCAAGGUCCUGUUUUGUUGGAGUUCCUGAAGAGUGGCUAAAUCUAUAGUGUUUCGAUGUAUAUGGUAUGCCCAUAAGGAGGGGUUCUACUGAAAGUGUUUUCUGAGUAUGUUAUUUAUGGAAGAACCUAGCGUGGGAAGACCUUGUUGUAUUGUUGAUCUGGAUAGCAGUUUCAAUUUGUUGAUCUGGAAAUGAUGGUAUACUGAAAAUUGAUGAUCUGGAUAGCAGUUUCAAUUUGUUGAUGAAAAUUCAUUACCUUUACUAUGGAUAUUCUUCUUCUUUUGUA